rnacentral:rRNA from 1 species
GGGCUUGACAUCCCACGAACCUGCCCGAAAAGGCGGGGUGUCCGCAAGGGAGCGUGGAGACAGGUGGUGCAUGGCUGUCGUCAGCUCGUGUCGUGAGAUGUUGGGUUAAGUCCCGCAACGAGCGCAACCCUCACCCCUAGUUGCCACCGGGUCAUGCCGAGCACUCAAGGGGAACUGCCAGCGUCAAGCUGGAGGAAGGCGGGGAUGACGUCAAGUCAUCAUGCCCCUUACGCCCUGGGCUACACACGUGCUACAAUGGCCGGUACAAAGGGAUGCGAGACCGCGAGGUGGAGCUAAUCCCAAAAAGCUGGUCUAAGUUCAGAUUGCAGUCCGCAACUCGACUGCAUGAAGGAGGAAUCGCUAGUAAUCGCGCAUCAGCCCGGCGCGGUGAAUACGUUCCCGGGCCUUGUACACACCGCCCGUCACACCACGAAAGCUGUCUGUACUCGAAGUCGCUGAG